CCUGAGAUCAUUGCCCGAGUCGAAACCAAGAGUUGGAGGCUUAACCACUGUGCCAACCAGAAACUAUGCUGGGUCCCGGAGAAUCUGAAGCUAAAGACACGUACUCUUCCCUCCCUGAGCUGGUACGGGCCAAGGACCAGUGAAAUGACGUCUGUGGUUGGCUAUAGCAAGGAUGCUGUGGCCGAGCUCUAUGGACCACAGAAGAGUCUGCCAUCCAGACCAGGGACUGGCGUGGUCAGGAGACACUUUCCCAGAAUAGGUGGCAUCUGAGCUGUAUGUUGAAGGAUGUAUGGAAAUGAGCCAAAGAAAAGGAGAAAGACAUCCCAAGCAUAAGCUAGAAGUAGAAGAGAGCAGACCCAGAAACUGGAAAAUGAAAUCUGUUUAUCACUGCUUUCGAGAGCUAUCUGCAGUAAUGGAAAAGUUCUGUAUCUGUGCUGUCCAAAAUGGUAGCCACAGUGACAUGUGGUUAUCAAGCAAGCGAAGAACUGAAUUUUAGUUUUAUUUCUUUUUUUAAAUUUAAAUUUAAAUAGCCACGUGUGAUUAGUGGCUACUGUAUUUUUUUAAACACCACUUUAUUGAAAUAUGAUUUGAUGUGAUUUGAUGUGGGGUCUGGGAGUGAAUGGUCAAGAAAGAAUUCUUGAGGCAUUUUCAGUAAAAAAAAAAAAAAGGUGGUUUUAUUAAAACAUGGGGACAGGACACAUGGGCAGAAAGACCUGCACUGGGUUUUUUGUUUUUGUUUUGUUUUUAAAGAUUUUAUUUAUUUAUUUGAAAGAGAGAGUGAGAGAAAAAGCACGAGCCUGGGGAGAGAGAAGCAGACUCCCCGCUGAGUAGGGAGCCCGAUGGGGACUCAAUGCGGGGCUCAAUCCCAGGAAUCUGGGAUCAUGACCCAAACCAAAGGCAGACACCCAACCAACUGAGCCACCCAGGCACCCCUGCAUUGGGGUUUUGAGGAGCUAUUAGGUUUAUACUUUAAAGUUGGGGGGGAAGAAACAAAGAAGUUUCCAAAAACGAUUUCCACAUGUUAAGGAAGACUUACAGGAUGCUGGAGGUCUGGCUAUUGUCAAGCAAAGAUUGCUUUUUGCUUUUAGCAAAGCAUUAACGCUAACACAGUUGGGAGUUCCUGGAGGAAAGUCAUACUCUGCCUGUCUUGAGUAUUUGUCGAUGGACUGCAAGUUGUAAGGAAAUUUAAUUUUGUCUUCAUCUCCUUUCGCCUUUGUUCUCCACAUCAUGAUUGCAAUACAAAAAACUGUGAUGAAUCGAUGUAUUCGAUUUGAUGAGCUCGGAGAAAAGUACACACCUGGGAAAUCAUCACCUCCAAAGCUAAAUAAACCAAGCCCAGUCCCGUCAACUGACUUCCAUUUCCUCCCAGGCGAAACAACAGCAUUUUCUUAGGGUCUUUGAAGAUGGAGCUUUUACACAAAGAAAGGAUGUAUCUGAUUCAGGGCAGCUCAAGAAUCUUGGACUACAGUCAGCUACAAUCAUGGGUGAUUCCCCGAGUGAAGAGGCCAAACACUGGCAAAAACAAAAAACAGAUUUGAUCCACUGCGUUCCUACCCUAAUGGAUGCUGAGAAAUCGACACUCCAUAACCACCCACAAAUUUCCUGGUACUGCUUCUGUCAUUGCAAAAUGCUGGCUCCUUCAAAGUAUCAUCUCUUGCCCCUGCCAGAGAAAGCCAGUCUUUAAAAGAAACUGAAUCCAAGCUAGGAAAGAUCAUCGACUGUGGUACCUAUUGCCCAAAGUUGUGGUCUGAAGGAUCAAAGGACGGAUAAAGUCACAUCUUAAAGAGGGGCCAAGGUUAAGACCCGGAAAAAGAGGACCAAAUAAGUUUGUCAAUCUCAGAAACAAGAGGGAGAAUAAAGGAUACUGAGUCAUACAAGAAGAUACCCAGGCUACUGAUGAAUGAGGAAUACAGAGUACAUGGAUUGGAGAGGAGAAAUUUGGACACAGAGACAGACACACCAUAGAAAGGAUGCCAUAUGAACCUGCGAGCAGAGACGGGGUGAGCAUCUGCAAGCUGAUGAACAGCAAAGAUCGGGAACAAGCCCGAAGAAGCUAGAGAGAGCACAGAAUGGAUUCCUCCUCCAAGGCUUCAGAGGGAACCAAUCUUGCUGACACCUUGAUCUUGGACUUCUAGCCUCUGGAACUGCGAGACUACAUGUUUCUGUUGUGUGGCGGAAGGAGAGCCUCAGGACAAGGCAACACGACAGGGCAGACCCCGGUCGAAGCCAGGCUCCUCAGGGCGGUGGGUAAGUAGGAGGGCUGUCACCACAUCUCUGGGGAAUGUGCUGGAGGCCAGCCUGACAAAGAGAACGAGAAAGCUGCCAGGGGAAGGUGAGGCAGGUCGCUGUCAAGCCAUCAAAAAGUGAAGUGGUCUUUAGGAAGGCCAAGGCCAACCCACAGAGCUGCCGGCCAGGAUGAAAGAACACACGGACCUGUGGCUAAGGGCAGGAGUGACCCGUCAGCCCGAGAUGAUGGCCUCUGCUCUCCAAGGACGCUGCCGAGUGGCUUUUCAGACCCCAGCACCACCCAGGUCCCCGAGUUCUCCAGCCUUUGCGCGCUCGAGUCUGUUGUAUUGAUGGGAGCUAAUUAGUGCUGAGGCCGACUCCAGUUCAUUUCCACCACCUCAUUACUUGUUUGACUUCUGGGCUGACGCCAAGGCACAGACAUGGUCAUUGCCCCUGCAGAGCGGCGCACACGGGCCCUGGGAGGCAUGCUUCGGCGUGCCACACGCUCCCAGGCAUGCACACGUAUUUACACGCACGCACGCGUACUCACCCGUACACACGCUCACACAGGGCUCGCCCAUGCGCAGACAGCGCCUGUAAGCCGGCACACACUCGCUCACGCGGGCACACACAGCUGCCCCCGCGGCGGCUCGGCUGGGCCAGGCCUCUGCCUUUUCGGUGACGAGGGGGUCUCUAGGAGAACUUCAAACCUGCAAUUACCUCCGCCCGCCCUCCUGUUCCCCUGGCCACUCGACACCCAUGCUUGCGAUCUGUAAUUCAUCCCUACAUCUUAGGCCUUUUUCCAGCCAUUGUCAAUGGAGUGGGAGACCUUCCAACCCUCCGUCUCAAUGAAAAUCAACUGCUGUAAACCCAAGCUCCCGUGAAGUUCCCGGGGCCUGGCCUGACUUGGAUUUUAAGGAGUGCUGCCGCCCUCCCUGCCUGUGAAUCAGGCUGGGCUCCAGACGGGGCGGGGAAGCCCUCUAGUGGCCAAGGCUGAUGUGACAACAGCCGUUGAGGGCUCUGGGAUGCUGCAGGAACAGUCCACUCUUCUUAAGGACAUGGGGAGGGCACCACGGUCCAUAAAAAUCUUCACAGCCGAAAUCCUCCCUCUCCAUCACCCCCAGAUCCUUCUACUCAGCAGGUCCUAUCAAUUUCCCUUCCGAACAGCUGUCCCCGUUGGCCCACCCUCGCCCUGCCUUAUCGCCCACGCGUAGCUGGGCUGCAGGGGACUGUUGACAGGACCUCUGUGUCUGAUCCGUUAUGCACCUCGCUGCCAAAUUCAUCUUCCAGACUCUCACUGUUGGUUUUCUAUGUUCUCUGUUUAAGACUUUCAGACUUCCCCACUGUCUCUAGGGGUGACCCUCAGAAGGGAGACGCCCUUGCUGAGACACAUUUCGCUGUCUCAGAACAGGUCGAGCAGCAUUUCCCCACAUGGUCUGGAGAGGCCGACGCUCUUCCCUACACCGUGCUAGUGUUGAACCACGUUUAUCGAGGUGUCGUAACUGGUGGUACCCUAUUCUUCAAAUGUAGAGGGCUGAGGGAAAGAUGGAGAACCACAAGUCCUCCGGGCAAAAGUUCAAACAUCUCAGCCCUCCACAAUCUGGCCUCGAAUUCCCUUUCUGGCUUUAGUGCUAUAGUACAGUGUCAAGGUUACGGACUAGAAUCAAACAGCCUGGCUUAGAAUCCCAGGUGUACCACUUAUUAGCUAUGGGCCUGUAUGGAAAGUUCUAAAUCCUUAGUUUCUUGGUGGGGUUGUUGAGAUGUUAGUGAGGUUGCCUGUGUAUGAGACUUAGCCCAGUGUUGCCACACGGUCAGUGCUCACUUAAGGACAGCUGUUAUUAGCACUCCUCUGUCUACAAGCCGACUGCUUUGCUCGCAGGUCGGGCACAUGCUUGCAUUUUCCAUCUCUGUACCUGGGCUCUUGAUGCUUUAUUUGCCUGGAAUGUCCCCUCCUUCCUCUCUAAUGUCAAGACUUUACCUGUUCUGCUGAGCCCAGCUCAAAUUUCUUCACCUGCUUAGAGAACUGAGCUAAUCUUGGACUUAUGGACCUCACACAUUAUCUCUUGUGAGAGGAAACAAAUACUUUGUGAUAGUGCACCGUAUAAACUCAUGCAUGUGUGUUAUAGACAAAUGUGUGGGAUAUUUGUGCAAUCAUUCUGAAAAAUAGAUAAAGCCUUAUAAUGGGUGUUCAUGCAUUACUGGAGUAGUUAUUCAAAUUGUUUUAACAUUUUACUUCUCUGCGUAACUAGAUUAUAAAUGCCAUGAGGAUAAAAGCUCUGUUUUAUACUUAUAUUCUCUGUAGAACAUACCUUACAUGAUACUUUCACUAUGUUAGGCACUUAGUGUUCACUUAAUUAAGAAGUGACUAUAUCUUUUAUAAUAGUAGUAACAUAUAUCCUUGUCCCUUAAAGCGAUUUUCCAUUCAUUAUCUUAUAAGCUUUGAUUAUCUCACUUCUACGACAUCCCUAAAAGAAAAGCAAAGCCUAGACCUAUUUCAUAGGGAAUUUCUUAUUGGAAGUCUUGCAAGCAAGUUUUGUUCCUUAUAUGUGUUACAU